rnacentral:rRNA from 1 species
CCUACGGGAGGCAGCAGUGAGGAAUAUUGGUCAAUGGGCGAGAGCCUGAACCAGCCAAGUCGCGUGAAGGAUGACGGAUCUAUGGUUUGUAAACCUCUUUUAUAUGGGAAUAAAGUGAGGAACGUGUUCCGUUUUGUAUGUACCAUAUGGAUAAGCAUCGGCUUACUCCCUGCCAGCCGCCCCGGUAAGACGGAGGAUGCCAGCGUUAUCCGGGUUUAUUGGGUUUAAAGGGUUCGUAGGUCGUGAAUUAAGUCCGCGGGGAAAGUUUGUGGCGCAACCAUAAGAUUGCCGUUGAAACUGGUUGACUUGAGUAUAUGUGAGGUAGGCGGAAUGCGUGGUGUAGCGGUGAAAUGCAUAGAUAUCACGCAGAACUCCGAUUGCGAAGGCAGCUUACUAACCUAUAACUGACACUGAGGCACGAAAGCGUGGGGAUCAAACAGGAUUAGAUACCCUUGUAGUC